AGUAUCUCUGUGGCUUGAACCAGAUGAUACCUGGCUGCAUGCUCUCAUACAUUCAGAUUUUCUUGCAGAUUAUGAAUUUCACAUCAGUGAGCAGAGUUCUUACAGACUUCAAAUUUUCCAUGCUUGAAACAGGGGCCAAUGGUGGGUGCUUAUUCGGUUUGUUUAUCUGUGGACAUCUAAUGUGUUGUUUUCAUUGCAAUUUAAUGGAAUAUGAGAGAAGGGUCCAAGGUUUCCUGUUCAUGUCAGUUGUUCGAUUGAUACUCUCUAGGUCUGGGAUUGCUGGAAACAUGUAGCUUCCUACUGUCUCGGUGACUUCUUCACAUUUCCUUUCUUGGAUCAUUUUUUUAGUUCAAGUUCUCUGUGUAACUUGGUAUUGUAAUGCUAGGCUAGGCAAUAAAUCUGUGUAACUUGGUAUACUCCUGUAACCUGAAACUGAGAACUCAAGUUACUUUGGUGCUUGUCUGGUAAUAAAUCUGCACCCUAAUCAUUGCAAGAUUUUCUAUAUUAGCCAAUUUAUUUCUACUGAAAAAGAAAACUGUGAUAUUGCAACCUGCUCAAGAGCUUCUAUUCUUUGGCGGAAUACAAUUUUACACACAAGAUUUGUUUUCCUGAACUACAAAACCUGCUAUAGAAUCAAAGUGGUGAAUAAGGACAUUGGUGAAUAGUGAUAAGUGUAUAUGACUGAGGUGACAUUGGUACAUUGACAGGAUCAAAGUGGUGAAUAAGGACAUGUUUUCUGCAAAUUUAAUUUGAACCACGUUGCCUAAAUCAGGUGGGGCUAUGCACAGGGAUGCUGUCACGUUUGUCAUCGACGAUCCAGGUGAGAAAAAAAAAAAUACAUCUUGCAAAGUUGUUCCACAUCAGACUGUGAGCUGAGGUAUUUGAUGUGAAGCUAAAACUGUGCUGCAGGUUGCGUGCAGAGGCAAAGUAUUUGAAGGAGCAAUGACAUUCAUGUGGUCAUGUUUCUAAAAUUCAAGUCUGUGCUCGAUGGGACAUUCAUUUGAAGAAAGCUAAAUAUACUUUUAUAGCUUUUAUCACUAAAUCAAUUGUAAAUUUACUUCUAUAGCUUUUAUCACUAAAUCAAUUGUAAGCUCAUGUCAAGUAGUUUUGUUUUGUAAUAAAUCUAGAUAUAAAACUAGGAAAAGCUAUCAUCCAUCCUGUCAUCCAGCUGCCCUACUCCAAGUACAGAUACUUAGAAAGUACUAUGGUAGUGUUGAUCAAGUUACAUGUGAAGGAAGGCUAGGGCUUCAAAACUUAAAUUGGUGCAACAACGUUCUAUAUCUUCAUGGCGUUCCAGAGGAUGCGAAGUGAAAAGAUGUGAGAUCCAUGUUAGAUUGAACACAUUCAGU